rnacentral:rRNA from 1 species
GACGAACCGUGCGAACGUUAUUCGGAAUCACUGGGCUUAAAGCGCGUGUAGGCGGGACGGCACGUCGGUCGCUGAAAGCCCCCGGCUCAACCGGGGAACGGGCGCCGAUACGACUGCCCUCGAGGAACGUAGGGGGACCUGGAACUUCCGGUGGAGCGGUGAAAUGCGUUGAGAUCGGAAGGAACGCCCGUGGCGAAAGCGAGGUCCUGGACGUUUACUGACGCUGAGACGCGAAAGCCAGGGGAGCGAACGGG